GGCCCAGAGCUGAAGAUACAGAAGAGGAUAGCCGGAGAACCACUGCACGGAAAGGGACCAGGCUGCCCGGAGAUAUGAGCUGCAUCUGCAUCCUACACUGAGAGGAGACCUGUCACUUAUCGGCAUCUGCACUGUGGAUAGAAAAGUAUGUGGACAGCCUGCGCUGAAAUGAGACCUCGUCUGAGAUGAAGUUUUGAUUGGAAGUUAACAUGGCAGUCUGGGCCGGAUGGAGAAGAAAAGGAAAGAGGACCACACCAAUCAAAAAAGAUGUAAAUUGUCACUUAAAACAUCACUUAAUUUAACAGUAUGGGAAAGGAAGGGGGUGGCCGAUACAGCGCCUCAUCAGGAGUGCAAGGAGCAC